rnacentral:rRNA from 1 species
GUGCCAGACUCCUACGGGAGGCAGCAGUGGGGAAUAUUGCACAAUGGGGGAAACCCUGAUGCAGCGACGCCGCGUGAGCGAUGAAGUAUUUCGGUAUGUAAAGCUCUAUCAGCAGGGAAGAAGAUGACGGUACCUGACUAAGAAGCCCCGGCUAACUACGUGCCAGCAGCCGCGGUAAUACGUAGGGGGCAAGCGUUAUCCGGAUUUACUGGGUGUAAAGGGAGCGUAGACGGCGAUGCAAGCCAGAUGUGAAAGCCCGGGGCUCAACCCUGGGACUGCUCUGGAAACUGUAAAGCUGGAGUGCGGGAGGGGCAGGCGGAAUUCCUGGUGUAGCGGUGAAAUGCGUAGAUAUCAGGAGGAACACCGGCGGCGAAGGCGGCCUGCUGGACCGUAACUGACGUUGAGGCUCGAAAGCGUGGGGAGCAAACAGGAUUAGAUACCCGAGUA